AGAGAGAGCAGGAAAGUCACAGAGGGAAUUUUCUCUCCUUUUGUGCGUCUCUCCGUCUGUCCGAUUUUAAAAGGCGUGACGUGUGUUUUGCCAUUUUGAGAUGAAAGAUUGAAACCCGUAACCGCCUCUACGCUUUCUCUCAUCUGUUCCUUUUCCCCCCAUUUUCUCCGGUCUCUCGUCUUCUCUGCCCCAAAGGGCUGUGCCUCGCAUCUCUUCGAUCUACCCUAGCGUGAAGCCCUAAUCGCAAGCUCGUCCUAAUCUCCCCUCCCUUCUCUACUGAACCUUAAUCUCCAACAUCCUCAAGCCUCAAUUUCCAGAUCGUCGAAUCGCAGAGAGGAGAGAUGCAAAAAUAUGUGAUGGUCUCGCAGAAUUUUCAACUUUCAACACUUCUCUCUCUGGCGAUCUUGAAUUCCUCUCUUCCUCUUUAUCUCUCACAAUUGGCUCUCCGAUUCCUCACUGGAUUGUCUGAUUGUUUUUCUCUACUCUUCUUCCUCAGCGAAGUAAUUCUCUCGAGAAAACCGUUGUAAUCGGUGAUGAGGAGAAGAGCGCUCUACAAUACCGUCGCCGAGUAUGGCAUGAUCCAGAUGUCUCUCGCGGUAUCUGCAGAUCUGAUUACACCUAUGGGGAGGAGCAACUGAGGAGAGGCGCUCUAUAAUACCGGCGACGAGCAUGGCAUGAUCCAGAUGACACUUGCGGUAUCUGUAGAUCUGACCUAUGGAGAGGAGCAACGAGGAGAAUAGGCGCUUUACAAUACCGGCGACGAGCAUAGCAUGAUGCAGAUGACACUUGCGGUAUGUAUCUGUAGAUCUGGUAACGUUUUCUGAUUUUAUUGUGUUUUUCCUGUUCUUUGGUGGCGGUAGUUCCUAAUUUGGAUUCAUAAUUAGGUUAGACAUACGGCUAGUUUUGCCCCUCCCUCCGUUUCAACAUGUUUCUUGCAUUUGCAUAUGUUAUGCAAUUUAAAUCUCUAUUCUAUUCUCUUGGUUUUGCACAUGAAAGUGUUUACGAGCUUGAUCUAUUGAGUAUUUCUGAGCAGAACCCUGGCCCAGUAGUUGCUGUAAUUAUACUCCAGGUCAAUAGUAAUUGUACAAAGUGAUGUCCAGUUCUUUCAGUGUAAUGUAAUGAUUAGUGAUGGUAUACUUACUGGAAUAAUUACAGUAGGAAGAUAUGCAAAAGAAUUUUCUGCAAGUUUUCAUAUAAUGCUACAUAAAAGUUUUCUCAAAAAAUAAACUAAAAUUUGCAUGGAUACAUGUAACCACUGGAAUAAUUUUUAUAUGAACUUUCUUGCAGACAUUUUUUUUCUUCCAGAAAAGCUAAUAGCCUUUAUUUAUCUAUGUUAUAAACAUUUUUAUGUUCUUAUAAAUUGAAAUUUGAGUUACUUAUUUUGAAACAACAGAAAUAAUUCCUGCUGUGUUUUCGCUAUUCCUGGGUUUUCGUUUGUUGCUCCUUUCUUCCCAGUUUGGCUCUCGAGUCAAUUUCUAUAGCGCUUACUUUAAAGAUACAACGCCACAGAAAUACUCCGUAGUCGACGGUCGCUCUUUCAUCUUACCCAACCAAAUACCAGCUGAUAAAUCUAUGGACAGGGCCCUUUAUUGUUAGAAUUAGCAAAAAGUUGUCGGUACUUAUCAUCAGAACGAAACUUUCCCAAAACAUUUGAGUUGCAAAUUAUUUUAAAUACAGAACAUUUCUUUCGCAUAAUAGGGUCUGUUUGGUUACAGUUUUCAAAACUGUUUUCUGUUUUUGAAAAUUCGUUUGCGUGGGUGUUUUUAUAAACUGUUUUGUAAAAUUGAAAAAAAAAACUGUUAUUUGAAGUUUUGUAAAAUUCCUUUCUGUUUUCUCUUUCAUCUUUCUUCGUGCAGUAUCCUCUACCAAAUGAAUUUUGUUUUCAUCAUUAUUUCUUAAAAUUGUUUUCAAAAUCUAAUCUUAAAAUCAGUUUUUGAAAGUAAAAAACCAAAACCAUUUCCAAACCACCCUAAACAUCUUGUGAAGUGUUAGGGUUUAGGUAUGAGGUUGGAGAUACGUUUAAGACCAUUAUUACUUCAAUUUGGCAGUAUCACAGAAUAGCUUGAUCUUUCUUGAAAUAGGUUAACUAAUCAAUGUUAAGAGUUUUGUUUUGUCCUUCUAAUUUUUUUGUUGCCAUCUUUUUAUUUGAGUGUUUUGAGUUUUUCAUAGAAUUUUUUUUUGUUAACCAAGGCUGUUAAAAAGAAAAUUACUUGUAGAAUGUUCGACGCUGGAUUUGUACUUGGGCAUUUGUUUCUUGAACCACGCUCAUAUUUACAUAUUUUCUUCAAUUGUGUACUGGAAAUCCAAAGGGAGGAGGUAUGGCUGGUCUGAUAGAUGCGGCUGUUAACUCAUUUUUAUCUUUCCCUGUCGAUUAAUCUUGUUUUGAAUAUAUUUGAUCACAAUCCAUGGUUCAUUUGAUGGCAAUGAAUGGGUGGCACCAUUCUAAAGAGGUGCUCUGCA